rnacentral:ncRNA from 1 species
AACGCUCAUCACUUCAUACCUCCCUGUUGGACUUCGCCGGGCCUUGUGCCCGGCAUUUUUU